rnacentral:rRNA from 1 species
UACAGAGGGUGCAAGCGUUAAUCGGAAUUACUGGGCGUAAAGCGCGCGUAGGCGGCUGUCUAAGUCGGAUGUGAAAUCCCCGGGCUUAACCUGGGGAACUGCAUUCGAUACUGGGCGGCUAGAGUAUGAGAGAGGGAGGUAGAAUUCCACGUGUAGCGGUGAAAUGCGUAGAUAUGUGGAGGAAUACCGGUGGCGAAGGCGGCCCCCUGGCUUAAUACUGACGCUGAGGUGCGAAAGCGUGGGGAGCAAACAGG